rnacentral:rRNA from 1 species
UACGUAGGGCGCAAGCGUUGUCCGGAAUUAUUGGGCGUAAAGAGCUCGUAGGCGGUUUGUCGCGUCUGCUGUGAAAACCUAAGGCUCAACCUUGGGCUUGCAGUGGGUACGGGCAGACUAGAGUGCGGUAGGGGUGACUGGAAUUCCUGGUGUAGCGGUGGAAUGCGCAGAUAUCAGGAGGAACACCGGUGGCGAAGGCGGUUCUCUGGGCAU